UACGAAGGGGGCUAGCGUUGUUCGGAUUUACUGGGCGUAAAGCGCACGUAGGCGGAUCUUUAAGUCAGAGGUGAAAUCCCCAAGGCUCAACCUUGGAACUGCUUUUGAUACUGGGGAUCUUGAGUCCGGGAGAGGUGAGUGGAACUGCGAGUGUAGAGGUGAAAUUCGUAGAUAUUCGCAAGAACACCAGUGGCGAAGGCGGCUCACUGGCCCGGUACUGACGCUGAGGUGCGAAAGCGUGGGGAGCAAACAGG
rnacentral:rRNA from 1 species